UUUAUUUUUAACUGAUGUUACAAAAACCCGAUAUAGUUGAUAUGUUAAUGGGUAGUCGAUAAUAUAUAUGCUGCAUUUAAUAAAUUUUGUGGAGGGGAUUGUAACAUGUUACAUGACUACAUUUUGAGAUGGGCAUUGUAUUUUGUGGGAAAAUGUCAACUAAAUCCGUUAAUGACAACCUCCACGAAUUGUUGAGCAGACGGGUUUUGUGUGAACUGAAAAGAGUAGUGUUAAUGAGUAAAGAGACAAUUCCUGUUGAGAGAAAAUUGCUGGGAUUUUGUUGAGUGGAACUGGAUUUGAUGUCGCAAAUAACGGCAAGCGUGGGAAAUGUAUACGGUACAUGUUCACGAUGCUUAUCUACCAAACAGGUAUGUUCCUCUAGACGGUUGUGACGGCUUCUGGGUGGAUAAGUGAGUGUUACAGAGGGUUUUUCAAGUUUUACCAGCAAAGUGCUAAGACCUCACUGUUGUUGUAACGUCUUACGGAAGCCUCGUUUCCGUCCCCAAAUAUAAACAUCACCGGAGUUUGAAACCAUCGUCGUUAACGGUUAAAGACAUGAAUAUCGCACUUGUUCUGAGGUGUAUCUGGCAUUUGGGUUUGUGACAUGAAGGAAGUUGUUGCAGGGUAUGAACUGGACUAUUGUCAUUCCCGGUUGAGUACAUUUGACUCUUGGGAGCAGACGUUUGUUGUGUGUGUGUGUUGUGGGUUUUUUUUCAGUCUCAAACUCAAAUAGCCAUGUAUCUUUCAUUUUGCAAAAUUAAUUGUUUUACAUUUAUCAUUUGUAUUUGAUGUUUGUUUGUUUUUGCGGAAUAAAUUUAUAUAGAUCAAUA